UCUACGGGUGGCAGCAGUGGGGAAUAUUGGGCAAUGGGCGCAAGCCUGACCCAGCAACGCCGCGUGAAGGAAGAAGGCUUUCGGGUUGUAAACUUCUUUUCUGAGGGACGAAGAACGUGACGGUACCUCAGGAAUACGCCACGGCUAACUACGUGCCAGCAGCCGGGGUAAUACGUAGGUGGCAAGCGUUCUCCGGAUUCAUUGGGUGUAAAGGGCGUGUAGGCGGGAAAGCAAGUCAGAUGUGAAAACUCAGGGCUCAACCCUGAGCCUGCAUGUGAAACUGUUUUGCUUGAGUGCGGGAGAGGCAAUCGGAAUUCCGUGUGUAGCGGUGAAAUGCGUAGAUAUACGGAGGAACACCAGUGGCGAAGGCGGAUUGCUGGACAGUAACUGACGCUGAGGCGCGAAAGCGUGGGGAGCAAACAGGAUUAGAUACCCCAGUAGUC
rnacentral:rRNA from 1 species